AACGAACGCUGGCGGCAGGCCUAACACAUGCAAGUCGAACGCCGUAGCAAUACGGAGUGGCAGACGGGUGAGUAACACGUGGGAACGUACCCUUUGGUUCGGAAUAACUCAGGGAAACUUGAGCUAAUACCGGAUAAGCGCGAGAGCGGAAAGAUUUAUCGCCGAAGGAUCGGCCCGCGUCCGAUUAGCUAGUUGGUGAGGUAAUGGCUCACCAAGGCGACGAUCGGUAGCUGGUCUGAGAGGAUGAUCAGCCACACUGGGACUGAGACACGGCCCAGACUCCUACGGGAGGCAGCAGUGGGGAAUAUUGGACAAUGGGCGCAAGCCUGAUCCAGCCAUGCCGCGUGAGUGAUGAAGGCCCUAGGGUUGUAAAGCUCUUUCGGCCGGGAAGAAAUCGCACAGGUUAAUGCCCUGUGUGGAUGACGGUACCGGAAUAAGAAGCACCGGCUAACUACGUG
rnacentral:rRNA from 1 species